CGGAAGGNUGAUCCAGCCAUGUGGAGUGCAGGAAGACGGCCUUAAGGGUUGUAAACUGGUUAAAAAAGGGAAUAAACCUUCCGAUGCGUCGGGAGCUGCAAGUACCUUACGAAUAAGCAUCGACUAACUCCGUGCCAGCAGCCGCAGUAAUACGGAGGAUGCAAGCGUUAUCAGGAUUUAUUGGGUUUAAAGGGUGCGUAGGCGGCCGUUUAAGUCAGGGAUGAAAGACGUGUGCUUACCACACGCAGUGCCUUNNAACUGGACGGCUUGAAGGCAGAUGAGGUGGGCGGAAUGUGGCAAGUAGCGAAAAAUGCANAGAGANNGAGAAGAACACCGGUUAAGAAGGCNUUUUGGUAAACUCUGAUUGACGGGGAGGCAAAAAGCGUGGGGANCAACCAGGAUUACCCCCGUGGUCUCCNCCAAAAAGGAUGAUUGGAGGGGUGGCGACAC
rnacentral:rRNA from 1 species